AGAGGGGGCAAGCGUUGUUCGGAAUUACUGGGCGUAAAGGGCGCGUAGGCGGCCUUCUAAGUCGAACGUGAAAUCCCCGGGCUCAACCCGGGAACUGCGUCCGAUACUGGAAGGCUUGAAUCCGGGAGAGGGAUGCGGAAUUCCAGGUGUAGCGGUGAAAUGCGUAGAUAUCUGGAGGAACACCGGUGGCGAAGGCGGCAUCCUGGACCGGUAUUGACGCUGAGGCGCGAAAGCCAGGGGAGCAAACGGGAUUAGAUACCCCGGUAGUCCUGGCCCUAAACGAUGAAUGCUUGGUGUGGCGGGUAUCGAUCCCUGCCGUGCCGAAGCUAACGCAUUAAGCAUUCCGCCUGGGGAGUACGGUCGCAAGGCUGAA
rnacentral:rRNA from 1 species